rnacentral:rRNA from 1 species
UUCGGAUGAAGGUCUGGUGACUGAGUGGCGGACGGGUGAGUAACGCGUGGGUAACCUGCCCUGUACAGGGGGAUAACAGUUGGAAACAGCUGCUAAUACCGCAUAAGCGCACAGAGCUGCAUGGCUCAGUGUGAAAAACUCCGGUGGUAUAAGAUGGACCCGCGUUGGAUUAGCUUGUUGGUGGGGUAACGGCUCACCAAGGCGACGAUCCAUAGCCGGCCUGAGAGGGUGAACGGCCACAUUGGGACUGAGACACGGCCCAGACUCC